rnacentral:lncRNA from 1 species
GCAAUAAAUGUCUGGGAUGGGCUUAGAGAUGCCAUCGUUAGGAGGAUAUCGAAGUGUUGUCAGAAUGAAUGUUCCCAUGAACUGUAUUUGAAAUAUGUAUCUGAAUCUUGAAUGUGAUUGAUAAAGGUGUCUGUCUGAAUGAACCUUCUACUUUGACUAUAUCAGGAGGAUAAUUAACCUGCAAAGAAAAAGUUAGCUUCAUGCUAUGUCAUGAUGCAUGAGAUGUUUCGUGUUAUGCUAAAAUAAAUGUGAAUGUUGUAUGCAUGCGUAUGCUGUGAAAGGAUGUAAUGAAUGAGUUAUGCGUAUGAGAAGUUCUGCUUGGGGACUCUACUGGGGAAAAUAAAUCCCCAUCUACUGAUUUGAGACAUUUGUGUCGAUGACCCUUUCUCGGCUGGGGAUGCUUGAUUUCUGUCUGAUGGUGGAAAUAUUCAGCAGAGUCGGGCUGGAGAUGGAUGAGAUGAUCAGCCUGUCUGGCGAUGCCGACCUCUGUUGGGGAAUAGCUGGCUGUGCCGGGGAAUACUGCCAAUUUCUUCUGGGAAAAAUAGGCUUGCUGGGGAAGAGAAUUGGUAGCGGAUUCAUUGGAAGCAUGGUUAGACCUUCUCCUCGAUCCUGAAGUCGGGUAGUAAUUGCUAUUGCUAUUCUACGCAUAUAUUUUGGUAAACAUUUAUCAUAUUCAAAUGCACAUAUUAAUUCAAAUUAAAUCAAUGGACAUUUACGCAACCAAAACAGAAAAGUAAAAACAAAAGCAUCUUUUUUUUGAAAGAGGGUUGUAUUGAUUUUGAAAGGAGGCCUAUAAACAGGCAAUUUGUGUACAAGGAGACAGAAAUCCUAGUAAGAGGAAAUUGUCGAAAACAAAGAGAAAGCUAUGUGGAAGAAGUCCUAUUGAUUUUAAGCCUACUACUGUCAUUAUGUCUUCGAGCAUCUCAUCCCUUGCUGUCGGAUAGAAGUGAUUGGCUUGGUCAGUCCCUCGAACUUGGAUGAAAGUUGACUGAGAACGGGACAUAGUCAUACGCUUUAAUCCCUAAUUUUUGCCUGGACCGCCUUUUCAGGUUUUCAGUCCACCAGGAUACCCUUUUUUGCCCAAGCCGCCUUU